rnacentral:lncRNA from 1 species
AGCAACGGCCCCACGACCGCCGCCGUUCUGAUUCUCACCAUCAAAACCCCAUCUCCGUCUCUAUUUCCAAAUCACUCAACAAUCACCAGGCCUAAGGCUAAGUUCACAAUUUUAUUUAAUAUGCACAAUGCUUCCUUCUAUAUCAAUUCUCCAACUAAGUGUAAAGAUUCAAGUUUUAUCGAUUUGUAAAGUUAGAUGCAUUAUUUUUAUAAAAUGGAUGGUGACUCAAAAUUGAUUUGCAGGGCUAAGAUGAGAAGAGAAGCCAACCUGGAAACCUUGAUAUUAAAGGUGCAUUGCUAUUCAGCUGAAACAACUUGCACUUGAUCUGGAAACAAUUUGAGAUUUGAGGAGGACCUCAAUGUUGGGAAAAUGAGUUGAGAAUCGAACAACUAAUUGUUAAUGUGAAAGGGUGAAGGCUUUGUAUACAUGAAAUGAAAUAAAANAAUCUUUGUUUUCUAUGUUCAAGUUUCAACUAGGUUCUACAAAUGAAAACGUGAGAAAAUGAGUAAGUUUUUUUGAGGGGUGAGAAAAUGAGUAAUUGAUUGAGCUAUUGAGGUUUAAUGGACAAUGGGCUAAAAAAUAUGGGUAUUUGAAUGAUAGAUUGGAGAAGAAAAUUUUAUGCUGGAAUCAAAGGAAGUUCUCUGCGGGGGAAAAAAGAGGUCCUUAUCAAGGCGGUAGCUCAGGCGAUGCCAACAUUUGCUAUGCAAUGCUUCAGAAUACCGGAUACUAUCCAUAAAAUAUGUAUGAUAUUUUGGUGAGGCGAUAAGGAGGAGAAAAAAUGUAUGCAUUAGGCGAGGUGAGAACGCAUGUGUGUGUCGAAACAAAAAAGAGGCAUGUGGUUCAUGGAUUUAAAGAUUUUAAACAAAGCUUUAGCCGCGAAACAUGCUUGGAGGAUGAUUUUGUAUCCACCCGUGUUUUUAAAGCUAAAUACUUCAAAAAUGAUGAUUUGAUGCAAGCUCAUGCUCUCUCGAGAUCGUCUUAUGUUUUGGCGCUCUAUUGCCUAGACGGAAAUUAGUUUUUCAAAUAUAGAUUUACCAAGAUUGAGAGGUUUUAUUAGUCACCUCACCACUUUUUUUUCCAACUCUAUUACAAGUCCACCAAAAUCAAAGUCAUAUAUUUAAGCAAGUACAAGAACAGUAGCCUAUUCCCUCCCCUGCUCUGCAGCACCAAUUUCGGCUGUCAUUCAGCUACCCUACUCUUUCAUUCCUAUCAAGCCUUUGAAGGAUCGCAGAGGACCCAUCUGCCCAUAUACAUAUACUAUCAGCCACCAUACUUCAACUGUUGAGGUACAAAAAUAGGGAAAUGUCUAUCCUAGGCUGAUACGUGGUAGGCUGGGACGUUGGAUGAGUGCCACGUCAAAAGUGAUAGAUAACUAGUUCAUUUCAUUUAAAUCAACCCAAUCAACCCAGAAAACCGGUUCAUUUCAUUUACAACCAACCCAGACCGGUACUAUAGUGCUUUUGAAUUUACAUCCAAAAAUAGCUCAUUCAGCCCCCUACACUUGACCCUUCUUCUCAAGCCUCCCAUGGAUCAAUACUCAAGUCUUCAUCCAAACUCUACUCCCUUUAAAGAAUCAGCAACAAUCCCUCUCCAUUUCUUUGCACGCCAAUACAAUCCCUCUCCAUUUCUUUGCACGCCAAUAACAGAGAGUCAAUGAGUUCAUCUUAGCUUCUGCCAAACUUAAAAGAUUUUUUUCCCAGCAAAUCUAUUAUCACAACCAGGUUCAAACACAUUCGCAAGGUAUUAUACUAUCUCAGUCAUUCAACAUGUUUCACACCAAUAAGAAUUCUGAGUAAGGCAUAAAUGACAUCAACAGACUAGAAAUUUUUAGGUGAAAUAAGUGUGCUUUAACUGAUUAGCUUUUGAACUCAAGUACCCAAAUAGAACGCUAGUAAAUAACACACAAGGACCUAUCUAUUGCAUAACUGGUGAGGGCCACAAUCAAACACCAGACCAGAUUUCAUAGUUCACCUAGUGCAGUAAUUAGUUGAACUUAAGGCUUUGUAAGCUUACGAACCUGUUGAUUCGAGUGCGGGUUAUGUUGGCUGGGGUCGGACCUUGGAAGAGUUGGGCGAGAAUGGAGACUGCGUUGCAGGGCACCGCGAAUCGACGGAGCAACGGAUGACUGCUCCGUUCACCAGAUGCAGGGAAACAACAGCGCGGUGACCCCAGUUAAGGAAGACACGACAACACGAUCGGCGUUGGGGGAUCCAACACCGACGACGACGAACGCUAUCGACUCGCCGAUCCUCGAACCACCAGCAGCGAUGGGCGGAUUCUAGGCCUCGCAGCUCACCGAUUUUUCUUGAGAUGACGACGGUUGGGCUGUACCGAACAGAGAACAGCUAGGGCUCGACCCUUACUAGAGCUACGUUAGAGAAAAUCAGAGAGAAGAGAGAACCAAGGAGGAAAUCAUGCCUAUGGCCUCGCUCGGUAACGGCGGUGAUUUCUGAUGGAGAAGAGAAUUAGGGCUCGCCCCUUUCGCCUUGAUUGAGUGCGCCAGAGAGGGUGUGAGUGAGAGAGGGGAAAAGAGAUAGAGGUUGCGAGUCAGGCGAAGGGGGAUGCCGCGUUGACGACCGGAUUCCGGCCUCGCCAGAGCUUAGAGAAAGGGAGAGGUGCUGUUCUGUAUACAGCGAGAACGAGAGAGAGAGAGAAGGUAUCAGCCGAUUAUUGAGAAGAAAGAAAGAAAGAGAGAUGGGUUGGGCUUCAGUAAUUGAUUUUUUGAUUGGGCCUCUACUGUUGGGCUGCAAUUGUUUGACUGAAAUUUAUGAUAUUAAUGGGCCAAGUCUUUAGGCCGAAUCUGUGGGGGAAUUUAUUUUCUUAAAGGGUAAUUAUAUAUAUAGCCCUCAUUUUACUCAACAUAGCCUCAAAUUUAUAAAAGAAAUACAAAUAUUAGUGAAUGUAUUAUUUUGCCCUUGUAGCCCC